UGACUAUCGAGAGGAGGCCACACCCGUUCCCAUCCCGAACACGGCCGUUAAGCUCCUCUUCGCCAAUGGUACUGCAAUCAUACGUGUUGUGGGAGAGUAGGUCGUUGCCGGGG
rnacentral:rRNA from 1 species